GGCCGUGGACCCCUACUUUUGGCGGCUGUCAAGGUCCGAGGGGAAACGAAGGGGUCGGUAACAAGCAGAGGCGGACUCGAACUGUCCUCGUGUCCUCCAAUAGGGGACUUGGAAUGGAUUCUCCCGUAGCCCGGGCAACGCAUCCCAAUAAACGCCAGCUGUGAGCGGGAGGUGCAGAGGCCCUUUGCAGAGGAGGCCUCCUGCGGGAAGUACUCGCUCAAGCUCGAGGGUGACUUGCAGCCUUUGUCGCUCCUGCAGCCGAGUUAACCCGGACUGGAGCUGGGACGAUCUGAUCUCGGUUGUCGGAUCUGGUGCCCUUCGGAGAGAGGCUGUGCAGACACUGGGAAUACGGUGGUUAAAAAACCAACCAAACAAACAAACCAAACAAAAAUCAAAACUCAUACUAUGGUUCUUGACUUUGUGGAAUAAACAGUUUAAUGGAGGCAAACAGCUGUUAAUUAGAGGAUCC